AGACUCCUCAGCAGCUCAGGCUUCCAGAACUGAACGUCUCUCUGGGCCCAAGAGGAGUGUGGGUUGAGAGGAUUGGACAUGGUGGCUGCUUGAACCCUUCAGUUCCAUCCAGCCCCCAUCACGUGACUUAAGUCUCCCAAAUCAUGGGAUGUCCCUGAGUGUUCCUCCAGUUGCCUCAAGGCCCUCAUCCUUGGCAGUUCUGCUUCUCAAGCCAGCAGGAAGACCGAGAAGGAAAAUGGCACCGCAUACUCAGAGAGCACCCUCUAAUGUCUUCUCCAAUUUUGAGCAGACCCAAAUCUGGAAGUUCUAGGAGGUGAAUCAAAUGCUGGAGUUUGCCUUCAUUGAUGUGGCUGGCAAUCUAGACUACAAAGUGCUGAGCCACAGGCCCACCCAUGCGGAGGAAGCAGCAUGGGCUUCUCCAUCCUUCAGGCUGCAAGCUGCAGCCAGUUCAAUAAAGUUAGACACACAAA